rnacentral:misc_RNA from 1 species
GUGAAUCAUCAAAUCUUUGAACGCACAUUGCACUCCCUGGUAUUCCGGAAAGCAUGCCUGUUUGAGGGUCAGUUAUAUCAAAAUCGGUGUUGUUGCUGUCUUUCGCGGUGAUGCGCCGGAUUUGAGUCGUCUCAUUUUCGGUUAAGUGACUCAAAAUUUUUGCAUGAUUUCGGAACGUAUUUAAAUUGUUUAUGUAUGAUCGAGAUAUUGA